AUACUGAAAACACCGGUUCUCAUUUGAUCACCAAAGUUAAGCAGCAUUGAGCUUGGACAGUACUUAGAUGGGGAACUGCUUGGAAAUACUGGGUACUGUAA